rnacentral:rRNA from 1 species
AUUGAACGCUGGCGGCAGGCUUAACACAUGCAAGUCGAGCGGUAACAGAGAGAAGCUUGCUUCUCUGCUGACGAGCGGCGGACGGGUGAGUAAUGCCUAGGAAUCUGCCUAGUAGUGGGGGAUAACUUGCCGAAAGGUAAGCUAAUACCGCAUACGUCCUACGGGAGAAAGGAGGGGACCUUCGGGCCUUUCACUAUUAGAUGAGCCUAGGUCGGCUUAGUUAGUUGGUGAGGUAAUGGCUCACCAAGACGCGAUCCGUAACUGGUCUGAGAGGAUGAUCAGUCACACUGGAACUGAGACACGGUCCAGACUCCUACGGGAGGCAGCAGUGGGGAAUAUUGGACAAUGGGGGGAACCCUGAUCCAGCCAUGCCGCGUGUGUGAAGAAGGUCUUAGGAUUGUAAAGCACUUUAAGUUGGGAGGAAGAGCAGUUAACUAAUAUUUGACUGUUUUGACGUUACCGACAGAAUAAGCACCGGCUAACUUCGUGCCAGCCGCCGCCGUAA